rnacentral:rRNA from 1 species
UACAGAGGUGGCAAGCGUUGUUCGGAAUUACUGGGCGUAAAGCGCGUGUAGGCGGCUCUUCAAGUCAGGCGUGAAAGCCCCGGGCUCAACUCGGGAACUGCGCUUGAUACUGUCGAGCUAGAGUGUGGAAGGGGCGAUUGGAAUUCCGUGUGUAGCGGUGAAAUGCGUAGAUAUACGGAGGAACACCAGAGGCGAAGGCGGAUCGCUGGGCCAACACUGACGCUGAGACGCGAAAGCCAGGGGAGCAAACGGG